CAGUCGCCGCGGUAAUACAGAGGGUGCAAGCGUUAAUCGGAAUUACUGGGCGUAAAGCGCGCGUAGGUGGUUUGUUAAGUUGGAUGUGAAAUCCCCGGGCUCAACCUGGGAACUGCAUCCGAAACUGGCAAGCUAGAGUAUGGUAGAGGGUGGUGGAAUUUCCUGUGUAGCGGUGAAAUGCGUAGAUAUAGGAAGGAACACCAGUGGCGAAGGCGACCACCUGGACUGAUACUGACACUGAGGUGCGAAAGCGUGGGGAGCAAACAGGAUUAGAUACCCCUGUAGUCCCUGUCUCUUAUAC
rnacentral:rRNA from 1 species